AGCAGUCGCCGCGGUAAUACGUAGGUGGCAAGCGUUGUCCGGAAUUAUUGGGCGUAAAGGGCUCGCAGGCGGUUUCUUAAGUCUGAUGUGAAAGCCCCCGGCUCUACCGGGGAGGGUCAUUGGUAACUGGGAAACUUGAGUGCAGAAGAGGAGAGUGGAAUUCCACGUGUAGCGGUGAAAUGCGUAGAGAUGUGGAGGAACACCAGUGGCGAAGGCGACUCUCUGGUCUGUAACUGACGCUGAGGAGCGAAAGCGUGGGUAGCGAACAGGAUUAGAUACCCCCGUAGUCCCUGUCUCUUAUAC
rnacentral:rRNA from 1 species